ensembl:lncRNA
AUGGAAAUCAUCAGUAACUCCACUGAAAUCAAUGGACUUUCUGCAGUUAUUUUGCAGCUUAUAUCUCUUCUACUUACUGCCAGUACAACUGACAAGCUUUCAGUCACUGAUGGGAGGAGCGCUUGAUGGCAGAACCAAAACCCAGCCAAACAAAAACCCUGCAAAUGAAACUGUGGCUAUCAUAAGCACCAGGGGCCUUGAAAGUGCCUGUUAUCCAAUGCGGGGCACUGGGAAGGAAAACCUUGAGCCAGAGCUCACUGCUGCACCGUAACUUGAUUCGUCUUGCCCCUAUAAUUUCUUUGCCAGCGCCAGUACUUCUAGUAAUGGAGUGAUAACAUAUCGUUGCCUGUAACUGCAUAGAAGAAGAAGCCGAGCUACACAUGCAGUGAAAAUGGACACUGUAAUUGUUGCUUACUUUGAACCGGGCUACAACUGUACCCAUAUAAAUGAAGCGACAAUAGCAGAUUUACAUGCAAAUCGUUCCAGUUCAGUGUGAAUGUUGAUUUACUGAGGCUAAUAAGAGUUCAGCAGAUUGUAGCAGAGAAUAAUGGAAGAAAUCUCUCCUGGAAUGAUAAAACUGAAAUCUGCUCUAAGCCUUUUUAGGUUAUGUAAGCAAUGUCUGUCAUACUGCUAAACUCCUCACAUAAUCUUCCAAUCUGAAUCCUAAAAUUCCUGCUAGAACCCAGCCCUACAUUUCACUCAUAACAAUGCUUUUAUGUUCUCUAAUUGUAUAAAAGUACAAAAAGCACGACACUUCAGUGAUUACAGAAAUUAAUCCAGAUAUUUUAUGCAAUUCACUCAUCUAAUGCCAGGUGAAAAAGAGCUAAGUUAUUAAGAGCAGAGCAUAGUACAGUUAGAUUAUCUUUGAAAGGAUGAAUGAUCCAAAAAAAGGAAGAGGAAUCUUAGCUUAAACGCUCUACCCCCCUUUGUUUUGAACCAUUCUAUUACAAACAAACUUUUAUAAAAACCUAGUUUUAGGAAACUUGCCUUUGAGAGCAAAGCGAUGGCAUUGUUGGAAGCUGUCUGUUCUCCUGGCUUUCCUGCCCCCUAAGUAGAAAGGUCUUCCACCUGUCACUCAGAGGAGGUUAAAAAAUUACUGCGCUUUGCCUAAACCAACAGUAAAGUGAUAAUAUUACAGUAAAGAAUCAUUGUGGACAACAUUAAAGCCUAACAGGACUGAGGAGAAGGGAGCAGACUGAACUUAGAUUAAACCCAGGUGUGGAUUUAGAUUCAGCAGCACUUUUGCCUUCCGACAUGCUCUUGCUAGCUGACAAAAGCUUUUCACUCUUUCUAUUCUGAGUGGCUGGGAAAGAGAAGUUGUAAAUUAACCAGAGCACAAUUGACAUCUUGAAGGCACAAUGCCUUCCCAAUUGCUUCAGUUGCUGUGCACUGUGAAAUGCUUACAGCAUUUAAUUCAACCCGGGAUCCAGCAAUAUAAUUUUGGCAAAACAAAGGUAAAAUUUGGGGUUCCUUUUUGAUUUUCAGAAUGUAAAAAUGAGGGGAAAAAAAAGAUGAUCUGGGUAACUACAGGGUAAGCAGCGCUAAUGCUUUAAAAUGAAGGGGGAAAAAGAAUGAUUUGGGUUUUUGCGUGCUCUUUUUCCCAGAAGGUGAAUCUUUCCAUUACUUGCCUUUUAUGCAGAAAGUAGUUUUCAAACUGUGAUCCACAAAAACACUCUAAGGGCAUCAGCAGGACAGAAAAACUUGCAAACAAGCUGUACAAAGGAUGCAAAUUUUGGAUCCAGGGGAGAGGAGAAGAAAAGGGGGGAGUUUUCUGAAGAACCCUUUUAUUGAUAAACUUUGUCAAUAAAGUCUGAGGGGGCAGGAGCA